rnacentral:rRNA from 1 species
CAGUGGCGAACGGGUGAGUAACACGUGGGCAAUCUGCCCUGCACUCUGGGACAAGCCCUGGAAACGGGGUCUAAUACCGGAUAUGACCUGCUCUCGCAUGAGGGUGGGUGGAAAGCUCCGGCGGUGCAGGAUGAGCCCGCGGCCUAUCAGCUUGUUGGUGGGGUGAUGGCCUACCAAGGCGACGACGGGUAGCCGGCCUGAGAGGGCGACCGGCCACACUGGGACUGAGACACGGCCCAGACUCCUACGGGAGGCAGCAGUGGGGAAUAUUGCACAAUGGGCGAAAGCCUGAUGCAGCGACGCCGCGUGAGGGAUGACGGCCUUCGGGUUGUAAACCUCUUUCAGCAGGGAAGAAGCGAAAGUGACGGUACCUGCAGAAGAAGCACCGGCUAACUACGUGCCAGCAGCCGCGGUAAUACGUAGGGUGCGAGCGUUGUCCGGAAUUAUUGGNCGUAAAGAGCUCGUAGGCGGCUUGUCGCCGUCGGAUGUGAAAGCCCGGGGCUUAACUCCGGGUCUGCAUUCGAUACGGGCAGGCUAGAGUUCGGUAGGGGAGAUCGGANUCCU